AUUGAACGCUGGCGGCAGGCCUAACACAUGCAAGUCGAGCGGAUGAAGGGAGCUUGCUCCUGGAUUCAGCGGCGGACGGGUGAGUAAUGCCUAGGAAUCUGCCUGGUAGUGGGGGAUAACGUCCGGAAACGGGCGCUAAUACCGCAUACGUCCUGAGGGAGAAAGUGGGGGAUCUUCGGACCUCACGCUAUCAGAUGAGCCUAGGUCGGAUUAGCUAGUUGGUGGGGUAAAGGCCUACCAAGGCGACGAUCCGUAACUGGUCUGAGUGGAUGAUCAGUCACACUUGAACUGAGACACGGUCCCGACCCCCACGGGAGGGAGCAGGGGGGAAUUUUUGGCAAUGGGCGAAAGCCUGACGCCGCCAAGGCCCGUGUGGGAAGAAGGGCUUUGGAUUUUAAAAGCCUUUUAGUUGGGGAGAAAGGGUGUGAAGUUAACUCUUUGCGUUUUGACGGUACCCAAUCAAAAAGCCACCGCCAACUUCGGG
rnacentral:rRNA from 1 species